UACGUAGGGCGCAGGCGUUAUCCCGGAAUUAUUGGGCGUAAAGAGCUCGUAGGCGGUUUGUCGCGUCUGCCGUGAAAGUCCGGGGCUCAACUCCGGAUCUGCGGUGGGUACGGGCAGACUAGAGUGAUGUAGGGGAGACUGGAAUUCCUGGUGUAGCGGUGAAAUGCGCAGAUAUCAGGAGGAACACCGAUGGCGAAGGCAGGUCUCUGGGCAUUAACUGACGCUGAGGAGCGAAAGCAUGGGGAGCGAACAGG
rnacentral:rRNA from 1 species